rnacentral:rRNA from 1 species
GACGAACGCUGGCGGCGUGCCUAAUACAUGCAAGUAGAGCGCUGAAGGUUGGUAUUUGUACCAACUGGGUGAGCAGCGAACGUGUGAGUAACGUGUGGGGCAUCUGUCUUUGCGCGGGGGACAACAUUUGGACAAGAAUGCUAAUACCGCAUAAAAACUUUAAACACAAUAUCUACGUUUAAAAGAUGCAUUUGCCUCACUCAAAGAUGAUCCCGCGUUGUAUUAGCUAGGUGGUGAGGUAAAGGCUCACCAAGGCGAUGAUACAUAGCCGACCCGAGAGGGUGAUCGGCCACACUGGGACUGAGACACGGCCCAAACUCCUACGGGAGGCAGCAGUAGGGAAUCUUCGGCAAUGGACGAAAGUCUGACCGAGCAACGCCGCGUGAGUGAAGAAGGUUUUCGGAUCGUAAAACUCUGUUGGUAGAGAAGAACGUGGGUGAGAGUGGAAAGCUCAUCAAGUGACGGUAACUAACCAGAAAGGGACGGCUAACUACGUG